AUUUUAAAAUUUAAAUAAAAAGUAUGUAAAGUAAUAUUGUUACAUAAUAAAGUUUCCAAAAUAUUUUUUGUUAAAAAAAUAUAAAAUUUAUAGUAAUAAUAUAUAAGCCACGUAAACAUAGCUAUUAUAGAAUUACAUAAUAUAUAACACUAAAUUACAUUAAGUUAUUGGUAAAUUUUGUUGUAUAAACUAAAAUAUUUUAGUAUAGAAAUAAGAAACCCGCACGGUUGUGCGGGUCGAGAUCUAGUUUACUAUUAAAUAUCACGAACACGAUACUCCGUGUGUUAGCUCUCAAAAGGUUAGAUGAAUACGAUUGAUAUCCAACGAAGAGACUUAGACCAUGCGCAGCGGCGAACCGUUCAUUGGGGUUUAAAAAAUUAUUAUUAUUUUUUUUUUUGUUUGAUUUAAAAAAAUUAAAUAAAGUGAUCAAUAGCGGACCGCCACGUGGCGUGGGGCCUGCUGAACAGUCAUGACCCGGGUUCACGCGGGAGAGGCAGGACGAACCGAAGUCUUCGGUUAUGCUUAUUUUAAUAUAUUUUUUUCGUAAAACGUGUGACCCCCUCCCUGUGAACCCCCGCUGCGUAUGCCCUUAGGUUCACCACCCCUAAGGUAAACCUUUAAAAUCACCACUAAUUUUAGUACCAAUCAAAAUACCACCUAGAUAAAUAAUAAAAUAGAUUAAUUUUAUUUAAAAAACCUGAAAUAAUUGAAACAAAAAAAUAUUGUCAAUUUUAAUGAUGCCUAACACUACUAACUAAACCCUAAACCCAAAUCUUAAACCCUAAACCAAAAUCCUAAAAUCUAUAUCCUAAACCCAAAUCUUAAAUCAUAAAUCUAAACUGUAAACCCUAAAUCCAAACCCUAUAUCCUAAACCCAAAUCCUAGACUCUAAACUCAAACUAUAUACCCAAACCUAAUCCCUAGACCAUAAACUCAAAUCGUCAACUCUGAACCCAAAUCCUAUAUCUUAAAGGUUGGGUUAAUGUUGAUGUUUUUUCUUUAGGGUUUAAAGUUUGGGUUUAGAGUCUAGGUUUGAGUUUAGGAUUUAGGGUUUGAGUUUAAGGUCUAGAGUUUGGGUUUAGAAUUUAAAGUUUAGGGUUUAUAAUUUAGGGUUUAGGGUUUAGAUUUAAGGUUUAGAGUUUAGAAUUUAAGAUUUAGGAUUUAGGUACUGGCGUUAGCGUCAUUAAAAUGAACGUCAUUAUUUUUUUCAAUUAUUUUAAUUUUUUUUUAAAAAAUAAUAUAUUUUAUUAUUAAUCUAUGUGGCAUUUUGAUUGGUAAUAAAAUAAAAGGUGAAUUUAAAGGUUCAUCUUAAAGGUGAAUUUAAAGGUUUACCUUAAAGGUAAACCUAUGUUUUGUUCAUAUCCAAUCCGAGACCUAUAUUAACGCAUGAUGAUUAGGCUGAGUAAAGUGUGUAGCCCAAUUAGUUGGGAAUUUUAUUUUAAGAAAUGUUGUAGAGUUUUAAUAAUGUGGUAACUAAAUUACAUGAUCGUAUAUAAAAAAUGAUACUACAUCCGUUCCACAAAGAUAGACUUUUUAGUAUUUUCACACAUAUUAAGAAAACAUAUUAAACUAUCAUAAUAAAUGUAUCGUUUUCUGUAAUUUUCAAUUUUCGAUAACUUUCAACCAAUAGUAAUUCAAUGAAAUCAAUUAAUUUUCUUGAAGUUUACAAUUUUUUCAUAGAAAACACAAAAAAUACAUCUUUCUGAAACAAAUUUUUUUUCUAAAAAAUCUAUCAUUAAGGAACGGAGGGAGUAUAUCCUAAACAGUAAAAACACCUAUUUCACAAAAAAGUUUAAAACUCAAAAACUACCCACAUACAAAAGUUUUUUUUUUUUUUUGCAACUAUCCAUAUUAUAAAAACCUCAGUGAGUAUCAAAUCUUACAACUGAAACCGAAGAUCCUAGAGACAUGCUAUAUGGUAAAGCGUAGAUAGAAAACAUUACAAUAAUUUGAAGAUAGAAUUGUUAAAGGGCGAAUCAAGCUCAGGAAAAUGAAGAAAUGUGGCAGGCUCUAUCUUAGUCCCUAAAGCGAUUGUUCGAAAGAACAAAUGAUAGUCAAAUAAAACGACGUUGAUGCACCCAUAAAAAAAGGUUUAAAUGUUGACCGACAAGAACUUUUAGUGAGAAGCUCUAGAACCGUAGGCAACAUCGAAAUUAUAAAAUCCUAUCUGACUAUAUUUGACACUCAAACAAACACGAAGAACUUUGAAACCAAUAAAGCUUAAAACAUCGGCGAGCAUAAUGUAUGGUGAAGAGGAUGGUGAGACGAUUGAGGCUUGAAAGCAUGGACUAGGUGAAUUCGACAAUGAGAAAAUGACCAUAUCCAUGACAAUGAAAAUAGAAUGGAGCUUGACGAGGACUUCUAAGGCAGCCACGAACAUUGAGUUAAGACAAAAGCUUCUAGUUCCAGUAUUACAGUGAUGGAGCCAUGAAGGUUUGAAAGAACUAAAGCCGAGCUAUGCGUCAGGAUAUGACAUGAUACACACAGUUUAGGAAAUCCCACCGAAAACCCCCCAACACCAUAACCAAAACGAAAUCUACAUGAACUUGGGCUUAGCUGGGCUGGCGUGUGAACUGAAUUUUUCAGUUAUCAAAUUGGGCCUGUCCCAUAGCAGUAUUCGUGGCCUUGAACCAAUCCGAUUGCUCGAUCAAACUAAAAUAAUUGAAUCAAACUAACCAAAUUUAACCAAAAAUAUUUGAGUUUUUAAAAUAGUUUAAAUCAAAAUAUCAGUUCAGUUCGGAAAAAAUUUUGAAAACUAAAAACCAAGUUAAACCAAAAAAGGUUAUGUAUAAUUUGGUGAGGUUUUGGAUGAACCAAACUAAUCAGAAACGAAUGAUCAGAACCAAUUUGACCAAAUAAACUGAAAUCAAGGCGAAAUAAUAUCUGUGGCCUAGCGGGUACAAAAUUCAAAGAAAACAAGUGAAAUGCACUUGUAUCUGUGUCUUAAGGGUGUGGUUUGUCUGUUCGAUCUUCUUCUUCUUUUUGUGAAUCUUUUAUGUUACAUUUUUUUUUAUUAACUUAAGUGAUAAACUGUCAUUUUUAUUUAUCACUGAUUUAACAUUCUAUAUUCAUAGAUUAUAUAAAAACUUGUCAAUACUAUUUACAAAAUAUCAUGUAAUUACUAAUUUUAUUACAAAAACUAUAUAAUCAAUUUUCAAAAAUAUUAUACAUGUUAAUUUAUUAUAUGAUAACCUAUGCAUAUCUAUAAUUUGAUGGCAUAAUAUUUUUUAUAAGGAAAAAAAGUGAAUAUAAUUUACAAAGUUUUUCUAAUUUGGUGAGAUUUUGGAUAAACAGAACUAGUCAGAAAUGAAUGAUCUGAAUCAAUUUGACCAAAUAAACCGAAAUCAAAGGCAUAAUAAUAACUGUGGGUGAAAGAAUCUCCAAUAUCUAUAACUCUAUGGAGAGUGACUGUGGAGGGAAUAAAAUUAGUUUUAGGGAUAUUUGUUUGUGAUCUUGUAAACAUUUUGAGGAUACUUUUGUUAUUUGAUGGUUAAAAUAUUUGCGCCAAAUUUUUGGUCGGAAGACUGAAAAAUCUGCUACCAAUUUCUAAUCACAUAUCACUAACGACCGAUCGUUCCAAACGAACAGUAAUUAAAUGCGGUCGCUGGUCGCUAGCGAGUAGCGACUGCCAAUAAGACCGACAAGGCCCCAAAAUCAAAAGUACAGUCUGUAGUAAGUGCACGCGUAUGCAUGAUACCAUGUCUUAAUACAACAUUUCAAUGUGUAUAUCAUUAAAGUUUUAUACCUAAACAGUUGAUUUAUUACACCUCCAAUACCACUGCUUAGAGGAAACAAAACCAGAGACAAACAACCACCACCCAUUUUAUAAACUCUUUCUCUACAAACCGAAAUGAAUAUUUUAAAAAAGAAAAUACAAAAAAA